GAUGAACGCUGGCGGCGUGCCUAAUACACGCAAGUCGAGCGAACAGACGAGGAGCUUGCUCCUUUGAUGUUAGCGGCGGACGGGUGAGUAACACGUAGGUAACCUACCUAUAAGACUGGGAUAACUUCGGGAAACCGGAGCUAAUACCGGAUAAUAUUUCGAACCGCAUGGUUCGAUAGUGAAAGAUGGCUUUGCUAUCACUUAUAGAUGGACCUGCGCCGUAUUAGCUAGUUGGUAAGGUAACGGCUUACCAAGGCAACGAUACGUAGCCGACCUGAGAGGGUGAUCGGCCACACUGGAACUGAGACACGGUCCAGACUCCUACGGGAGGCAGCAGUAGGGAAUCUUCCGCAAUGGGCGAAAGCCUGACGGAGCAACGCCGCGUGAGUGAUGAAGGUCUUCGGAUCGUAAAACUCUGUUAUUAGGGAAGAACAAACGUGUAAGUAACUGUGCACGUCUUGACGGUACCUAAUCAGAAAGCCACGGCUAACUACGUG
rnacentral:rRNA from 1 species